rnacentral:tRNA from 1 species
GGGGUUGUGGCUCUGUGGUAGAGCGCUUGCCUAGCAUGCGUGAGGCACUGGGUUCGAUCCCCAGCACCA